AGGACGAACGCUGGCGGCGUGCUUAACACAUGCAAGUCGAGCGGUAAGGCCCUUUCGGGGGUACACGAGCGGCGAACGGGUGAGUAACACGUGAGCAAUCUGCCCUUCACUUCGGGAUAAGCCUCGGAAACGGGGUCUAAUACCGGAUAUGACUGCGCCGUGCAUGUGGUGUGGUGGAAAGUUCUGGCGGUGAGGGAUGAGCUCGCGGCCUAUCAGCUUGUUGGUGGGGUAAUGGCCUACCAAGGCUUCGACGGGUAGCCGGCCUGAGAGGGUGACCGGCCACACUGGGACUGAGACACGGCCCAGACUCCUACGGGAGGCAGCAGUGGGGAAUA
rnacentral:rRNA from 1 species